rnacentral:rRNA from 1 species
UGGGGAAUCUUGCGCAAUGGGCGAAAGCCUGACGCAGCAACGCCGCGUGAGGGAAGACGGCCCUAGGGUUGUAAACCUCUUUCAGCAGGGACGAAGCUUCCAGGGUGAAUAGCCCUGUGGAGUGACGGUACCUGCAGAAGAAGCCCCGGCUAACUACGUGCCAGCAGCCGCGGUAAUACGUAGGGGGCAAGCGUUGUCCGGAAUCAUUGGGCGUAAAGCGCGUGUAGGCGGCUCGGAAAGUCUGGUGUGAAAACUUGAGGCUCAACCUCAAGGGUGUCGCUGGAUACUAUCGAGCUCGAGUCCGGAAGAGGAGAGUGGAAUUCCUGGUGUAGCGGUGGAAUGCGCAGAUAUCAGGAGGAACACCAAUGGCGAAGGCAGCUCUCUGGUACGUGACUGACGCUGAGACGCGAAAGCGUGGGGAGCGAACAG